rnacentral:rRNA from 1 species
CCUACGGGAGGCAGCAGUGGGGAAUAUUGGGCAAUGGGCGCAAGCCUGACCCAGCAACGCCGCGUGAAGGAAGAAGGCCUUCGGGUUGUAAACUUCUUUUCUCAGGGACGAAGAAAGUGACGGUACCUGAGGAAUAAGCUACGGCUACCUACGUGCUCGCAGCAGUGGUAAUACGUAGGUGGCAAGCGUUAUCGGGUUUUAUUGGGUGUAAAGGGCGUGUAGGCGGGAGCGAAAGUCAGCUGUGAAAACUCAGGGCUCAACCCUGGACCUGCAUUUGAAACUGGGUUUCUGGAGUGCUGGAGAGGCAAGCGGAAUUCCGGGUGUAGCGGUGAAAUGCGUAGAUAUACGGAGGAACACCAGUGGCGAAGGCGGAUUGCUGGACAGUAACUGACGCUGAGGCGCGAAAGCGUGGGUAGCAAACAGGAUUAGAUACCCGAGUAGUC